rnacentral:rRNA from 1 species
GACAGUGAGGUGCGAAAGCGUGGGUUGCAACAGGUUAGAUACCCGGGUAGUCCACGCCAUAAAAAGAAGUCGACCAGCCGUUGGGUGCCUAGCACAAAUUUGUGGCGAAGUUAACGCGAUAAGUCGACCGCCUGGGGAGUACGGCCGCAAGGUUAAAACUCAAAUGAAUUGACGGGGGCCCGCACAAGCGGUGGAGCAUGUGGUUUAAUUUGAUGCAACGCGAAGAACCUUACCUACUCUUGACAUCCUGCGAAUUUGGUAGAGAUACCUUAGUGCCUUCGGGAACGCAGAGACAGGUGCUGCAUGGCUGUCGUCAGCUCGUGUUGUGAAAUGUUGGGUUAAGUCCCGUAACGAGCGCAACCCUUGUCCUCAUUUGCCAGCGCGUAAUGGCGGGAACUCUAAGGAGACUGCCGGUGACAAACCGGAGGAAGGUGGGGACGACGUCAAGUCAUCAUGGCCCUUACGAGUAGGGCUACACACGUGCUACAAUGGUCGGUACAAAGGGUUGCCAACUCGCGAGAGUGAGCCAAUCCCGAAAAGCCGAUCUCAGUCCGGAUCGGAGUCUGCAACUCGACUCCGUGAAGUCGGAAUCGCUAGUAAUCGUAGAUCAGAAUGCUACGGUGAAUACGUUCCCGGGCCUUGUACACACCGCCCGUCACACCAUGGGAGUGGACUGCACCAGAAGUGGUUAGCC